rnacentral:rRNA from 1 species
AGGAUGAACGCUGGCGGCGUGCCUAACACAUGCAAGUCGAACGUCCUGUCUCGCAAGAGGCAGGGAGUGGCGGACGGGUGAGUACCACGUGGGUUAUCUACCGUGAGGUGAGGAAUACCGGCGAGAAAUCGCCGACAAGACCGCAUAGCCUCGGUGCAAGCCGAGCAAAGCUCUUUCGAGAGAGGGAGCGCCACACGAGGAGCCUGCGCCCGAUUAGCUAGCUGGUGGAGUAACGGUUCACCAGGGCGACGAUCGGUAGCUGGUCUGAGAGGACGAUCAGCCACACUGGGAUUGAGAACGGCCCAGACUCCUACGGGGGGCAGCAGUGAGGAAUUUCGUCAAUGGGGGCAACCCUGAACGAGCAACGCCGCGUGCAGGAAGAAGGUUUUCGGAUCGUAAACUGCUUUUCUCGGGGAAGAGAACGGACGGUACCCGAGGAAUCGAGCCCCGGCUAACUACGCGCCAGCAGCCGCGGUAA